AACCAUCAGUCGUCAUCUAUGAGAAUCACGAGAGGUCACGUGAUGUCUGUCGUGGCACCAAAUGUCCCUGCCACGUAUUGCGGAAAUUGUAAUGGAUGGGGUGGAUCCUGGGAGAGAAACUAGUGUGAGCGAAGAUGGUUCAUCACUUGAAGCAAUCGUUUUCAGAGGGCAAGUAAUGGUAGGUUGCCUAAAGGACCCAACACCUACCUCUUCAUGCAUGCCAGAGGACGUGUGGGGUUUUAUACUGGGGAUGGUGGUGUUGCAUAUCCUGAUGGGUAUUAGAGACGAAGGAUCGAUUCAAGGAUGUGAUUAGUAGUGUAGGGUAUAUAAGCAGCACCGGAGUCUAGUCUGUUUUGUACUCGAAUCCGGAGGCAGCUUUCGUAAGUUCG
rnacentral:lncRNA from 1 species